rnacentral:rRNA from 1 species
UGGUGGAGUGAUUUGUCUGGUUAAUUCCGAUAACGAACGAGACUCUAGCCUGCUAAAUAGUACGCACGUAUUUCAUCGCGUGCCGUACUUCUUAGAGGGAUAGGCUACUUUUAGUAGCAAGAAACUGAGCAAUAACA